GAUGAAGAACGUAGCGAAAUGCGAUAAGUAAUGUGAAUUGCAGAAUUCAGCGAAUCAUCGAAUCUUUGAACGCACAUUGCGCCCGCUAGUAUUCUGGCGGGCAUGCCUGUCCGAGCGUCAUUUCAACCCUCAAGCCCCCGGGCUUGGUGUUGGGGAUCGGCGAGCCUCCGCGCCCGCCGUCCCCUAAAUCUAGUGGCGGUCUCGCUGUAGCUUCCUCUGCGUAGUAGCACACCUCGCACUGGGAAACAGCGCGGCCACGCCGUUAAACCCCCAACUUCUGAACGUUUGACCUCGGAUCAGGUAGGAAUACCCGCUGAACUUAAGCAUAUCAAUAAGCGGAGGA
rnacentral:misc_RNA from 1 species